UGCAUGAAGGAACUCUAGGUGAUUCACAUGUAAAUUUUUAUCACAUGAAAGGAAGCAGCAGAAGAUAAAUAUUAUAAUAAUUUUAAUAUUAAAAUAAUGCCUUGAUCUAAUCAAGAAAUCAUCUAAGGAUCGAUUAACAUGAAUGAAUAAAUUUUACAACUAGAUUUGAAAUUGGAACCAGGAAAGAAAAGGAUUAUACCUGAAUCACUUUCUAUUGUCUUAUUCGGAUC
rnacentral:lncRNA from 1 species